rnacentral:rRNA from 1 species
GUGGGGAAUAUUGGACAAUGGGCGCAAGCCUGAUCCAGCCAUGCCGCGUGAGUGAUGAAGGCCUUAGGGUUGUAAAGCUCUUUCGUCAGGGAAGAUAAUGACGGUACCUGAAGAAGAAGCCCCGGCUAACUUCGUGCCAGCAGCCGCGGUAAUACGAAGGGGGCUAGCGUUGCUCGGAAUCACUGGGCGUAAAGCGCACGUAGGCGGCUUUCUAAGUCAGGGGUGAAAUCCUGGAGCUCAACUCCAGAACUGCCUUUGAUACUGGAGAGCUUGAGUUCGGGAGAUGUGAGUGGAACUGCGAGUGUAGAGGUGAAAUUCGUAGAUAUUCGCAAGAACACCAGUGGCGAAGGCGGCUCACUGGCCCGAUACUGACGCUGAGGUGCGAAAGCGUGGGGAGCAAACAGGAUUAGAAACCCGGGUAGUCC